rnacentral:tRNA from 1 species
GGAGGAGUGGCCGAGUGGUUGAAGGCGGCGGUCUUGAAAACCGUUAGACCCGGAAGGGUCUCGGGGGUUCGAAUCCCUCCUCCUCCGCCA